rnacentral:rRNA from 1 species
CCAUCGAGUCUUUGAACGCAAGUUGCGCCCGAAGCCUUCUGGCUAAGGGCACGUCUGCCUGGGCGUCACG